AUGGCUCCGAUAACGUCCAGGGCCUUUGUGCUUUUGUUCCCGUGUUUGUGGGACUUUGUUCUAGCAGUAGGAAUGAUUAAAAUCACAUCUGAACCUGGACAGACGGUCAUGCUGCCGUGUCAGGACCACAGCUACGCCCACGUCUCAGCAGUGGAGUGGAGCAAAACAGACCUGUGGCCAAAAUGGGUGGUUUUCUAUAUGGACCAACACCCUGGCGCAGAAAACCAACACCCGCUGCUGAAAGAUCGGGUGGAGCUGAAGGACAAAAAGAUGAAUGAUGGAGACGCGUCUUUGAUUCUGAAGAACGUGGUCGUUAAUGACACUGGAACCUACGAGUGUCGUGUCAUUCAGGAAGGAAUAGUGUCAUUGAAAAGAGUUUCUCUGGACACAGAGCCCAUUAGCAUCGUGACUCUGAACGUUCAACCAGAUCCAGACUCUGAUCGAGAACGGCUCUUGUUGAGGAUCAUGCUCUUCAUUGUGGUGUGCUGUCCAUACUUCAUCUCCACUCUACAGCUGGUGUCUCUGUGCCGGAAAAGAAAUGCAGGAAACUCAUCUGUUUCGGUGAUGACGUCUUCUCUCGAUCAGCAUCCGGAGAGUCUGAAUGAACAGGGUGAUGUCAUCACUGACUCCCCCACUGAACAUCAUCCACAUGAUGGGGGGGUGUGCAGCUAG
rnacentral:lncRNA from 1 species